rnacentral:rRNA from 1 species
CGCGGUAAUACGAAGGGUGCAAGCGUUACUCGGAAUUACUGGGCGUAAAGCGCACGUAGGCGGAUUGGUCAGUUAGGGGUGAAAUCCCAGGGCUCAACCCUGGAACUGCCUUUAAUACUGCUAGUCUUGAGUGCGAGAGAGGUGAGUGGAAUUCCGAGUGUAGAGGUGAAAUUCGUAGAUAUUCGGAGGAACACCAGUGGCGAAGGCGGCUCACUGGCUCGAUACUGACGCUGAGGUGCGAAAGCGUGGGGAGCAA